rnacentral:rRNA from 1 species
AGAAAAAAGUUAAAUGAGUCGCGGUAAAGGAUCUAUCGCGUAUGUUCAAUUUAACCACAUGACUCCACCGCUUGUGCGGAUCCCCCGUCAAUCCUUUGGUUUCCUCUUGCGAGCAUACUACCUCGGCGGAUGACUUAUUGCUUUAGCUGCGCCAAUGAAUUCCCCAUCAACUAAUCAUCAUCGUUUACGGGGGGGACUAACUAGGUAUCUAAUCCUGUUUGGUCCCCACGCUUUCCUCUCUCAAUGUCAAUAUGUGUCCAGUUAGCUGCCCUCCUCAUGUUGAGGUUCUCCCUUAUAUCUACGCAUUCCACCGCUCCACAGGGAAUUCCCCAAACCCCUACGCAAUUCUAGUUUGCCAGUAUCCAAGGCGAUUUGGGGUGGAGCCCCAAGUUUUCACACCAGACUUAAAAAACAACCUACUAGACGCUUUACCCCCAAAAAUUCCGGAAAACGCUUGCACCCUAUGUAUUACCGCGGGUGCUGGGCACAUAAUAAGCCGGUGCUUUCUUGAUAAAGGUAACGUCAAGGUCAAGACAUUUUCCUCCUCGACUUUCUCUUCCCUUAUAACAGAAGUUUUACAACCCGAAGGUCUUCAUCCUGCACGCUGUGUCUCUCCAUCAGGUUUUCGCCCAUUGUGGAAAAUUCCCUACUAGCUGCCUCCCGUAAGAGUAA